rfam:Homo sapiens chromosome 11, GRCh38 reference primary assembly.
UGCUGGCUUCGGCAGCACAUAUACUAAAAAUUGGAAUGAUACGGAGAAGAUUAGCAUGGCCCCUGCACAAGAAUGACACACAAAUUCAUGAAGUGUUCCAUAUUAAA